rnacentral:rRNA from 1 species
CGGACGGGUGAGUAAUGCUUGGGAAUCUGGCUUAUGGAGGGGGAUAACUACGGGAAACUGUAGCUAAUACCGCGUAAUAUCUUCGGAUUAAAGGGUGGGACUUUCGGGCCACCUGCCAUAAGAUGAGCCCAAGUGGGAUUAGGUAGUUGGUGGGGUAAAGGCCUACCAAGCCGACGAUCUCUAGCUGGUCUGAGAGGAUGACCAGCCACACUGGAACUGAGACACGGUCCAGACUCCUACGGGAGGCAGCAGUGGGGAAUAUUGCACAAUGGGGGGGACCCUGAUGCAGCCAUGCCGCGUGAAUGAAGAAGGCCUUCGGGUUGUAAAGUUCUUUCGGUGAUGAGGAAGGUGUUUGUUUUAAUAGAACAAGCAAUUGACGUUAGUCACAGAAGAAGCACCGGCUAACUCCGUGCCAGCAGCCGCGGUAAUACGGAGGGUGCGAGCGUUAAUCGGAAUGACUGGGCGUAAAGGGCACGCAGGCGGUGACUUAAGUGAGAUGUGAAAGCCCCGAGCUUAACUUGGGAAUUGCAUUUCAUACUGGGUCGCUAGAGUAUUUUAGGGAGGGGUAGAAUUCCACGUGUAGCGGUGAAAUGCGUAGAGAUGUGGAGGAAUACCGAAGGCGAAGGCAGCCCCUUGGGAAUAUACUGACGCUCAUGUGCGAAAGCGUGGGGAGCAAACAGGAUUAGAUACCCUGGUAGUCCACGCUGUAAACGCUGUCGAUUUGGGGAUUGGGCUUUGAGCUUGGUGCCCGUAGCUAACGUGAUAAAUCGACCGCCUGGGGAGUAC